GACGAACUGUCCUAACGUUGUUCGGAAUCACUGGGCUUAAAGGGCGCGUAGGCGGCCCGACAAGUCAGGGGUGAAAUCCUGCAGCUUAACUGCAGAAGUGCCUUUGAUACUGUCGGUCUUGAGGGAGAUAGGGGUGUGCGGAACUCACAGUGGAGCGGUGAAAUGCGUUGAUAUUGUGAGGAACGCCGGAGGCGAAAGCGGCGCACUGGAUCUCUUCUGACGCUGAGGCGCGAAAGCUAGGGGAGCAAACGGG
rnacentral:rRNA from 1 species